rnacentral:rRNA from 1 species
GACGGGGGGGGCAAGUGUUCUUCGGAAUGACUGGGCGUGAAGGGCACGUAGGCGGUGAAUCGGGUUGAAAGUGAAAGUCGCCAAAAAGUGGCGGAAUGCUCUCGAAACCAAUUCACUUGAGUGAGACAGAGGAGAGUGGAAUUUCGUGUGUAGGGGUGAAAUCCGUAAAUAUACGAAGGAACGCCAAAAGCGAAGGCAGCUCUCUGGGUCCCUACCGACGCUGGGGUGCGAAAGCAUGGGGAGCGAACAGG